rnacentral:rRNA from 14 species
AAAAAAAAAAAAAAAAAAAAAAUAAUAAUAAUAUAAUAUAAUAAACACAUACAUAAAUUAAUUGAGUCUUGUGAGGAACUAUGCCCGCGUACUCUCUCUUGAUAUAUGGUGGGCUUUUGAAGCACUGCAGCAAUUAACUUUGUUUGAAAAUAGGCUAU